CCUACGGGGUGCUGCAGUGGGGAAUAUUGGACAAUGGGCGAAAGCCUGAUCCAGCCAUGCCGCGUGUGUGAAGAAGGCCUUCGGGUUGUAAAGCACUUUCAGUGGGGAAGAAAGCCUUGGGGCUAAUACCCUCGAGGAAGGACAUCACCCACAGAAGAAGCACCGGCUAACUCCGUGCCAGCAGCCGCGGUAAUACGGAGGGUGCGAGCGUUAAUCGGAAUUACUGGGCGUAAAGCGCGCGUAGGCGGUCUGAUAAGCCGGUUGUGAAAGCCCCGGGCUCAACCUGGGAACGGCAUCCGGAACUGUCAGGCUAGAGUGCAGGAGAGGAAGGUAGAAUUCUCGGUGUAGCGGUGAAAUGCGUAGAGAUCGGGAGGAAUACCAGUGGCGAAGGCGGCCUUCUGGACUGACACUGACGCUGAGGUGCGAAAGCGUGGGUAGCAAACAGGAUUAGAUACCCUGUAGUC
rnacentral:rRNA from 1 species